GAUGAACGCUAGCGGGAGGCUUAACACAUGCAAGCCGAGGGGUAUAAGUGAGCUUGCUUACUUAGAGACCGGCGCACGGGUGCGUAACGCGUAUGUAACUUGCCUUUAUCACAGGGAUAGCCCGAGGAAACUCGGAUUAAUACCAGAUAACAUAAACUAUGGCAUCAUAGCUUAUUAAAAGAUUUAUCGGAUAGAGAUAGACAUGCGUAGGAUUAGUUAGUUGGUG
rnacentral:rRNA from 1 species